AGUGAACGCUGGCGGUAGGCCUAACACAUGCAAGUCGAACGGCAGCACAGGAGAGCUUGCUCUCUGGGUGGCGAGUGGCGGACGGGUGAGGAAUACAUCGGAAUCUACCUUUUCGUGGGGGACAACGGAGGGAAAAUUACGCUAAUACCGCAUACGACCUACGGGUGAACGCUGCGGACCGAGAAGCGUCGCGCGAUUGGAUGAGCCCAUGUCGGAUUAGCUAGUUGGCGGGGUAAAGGCCCACCAAGGCGACGAUCCGUAGCUGGUCUGCGAGGAUGAUCAGCCACACUGGAACUGAGACACGGUCCAGACUCCUACGGGAGGCAGCAGUGGGGAAUAUUGGACAAUGGGCGCAAGCCUGAUCCAGCCAUGCCGCGUGAGUGAAGAAGGCCCUCGGGUUGUAAAGCUCUUUUGUCCGGAAAGAAAAGCUUUCGGUUAAUACCCGGAAGUCCUGACGGUACCGGAAGAAUAAGCACCGGCUAACUUCGUGCCAGCCGCCGCAGUAAUAC
rnacentral:rRNA from 1 species